rnacentral:rRNA from 1 species
UACGUAGGGGGCAAGCGUUGUCCGGAUUUAUUGGGCGUAAAGCGCUCGCAGGUGGUUCAUUGCGUCGUGCGUGAAAGACCCCGGCUCAACUGGGGAGGGUCGUGCGAAACGGGUGAACUAGAGGCCAGUAGGGGGAUGUGGAAUUCCGGGUGUAGUGGUGGAAUGCGUAGAGAUCCGGAGGAACACCAGCGGCGAAGGCGGCAUCCUGGACUGGUCCUGACACUCAGGAGCGAAAGCGUGGGGAGCGGUCCGG